CUCAUUAUGAUCGCUUCCGGCGCUCGAGCUAUGGAUCCGAGUCCCCUACAGGACUUCUGCGUUGCAGACAAAGACUCGCCUGGUAUGUACUCAUGAGUUCAUCAGGCUAAUGACAUGUAUCACACAUUGUGCUGUAUUACAACAAAGGAAAAGUGGAAAUGAAGACACAUGAAACGAGUUUGGUUAGCUUUCUAACACAUGUAUGUCACUUCAUUGAUGCUGCAGUACGUGUGAAUGGGUUGCCCUGCAAGGAUGUUAAGGAUGUGAAGGUUGACGACUUCUUCCUGGCAGCCAACCUUGACAAGCCAAGGGAUACGACGAUGAGCAAGGUCAAGUCAAAUGUCACGUUGAUCAAUGUGAUGAAGCUGGCCGGUCUAAACACCUUGGGCAUCUCCAUGGCUAGGAUUGACUAUGCUCCUCAAGGACAGAACCCACCACAUACUCAUCCCCGUGCCACUGAGAUCUUAACAGUUCUUGAAGGUUCACUCUAUGUUGGUUUUGUCACAUCUAACCCGGACAACAAAUUUUUUAGCAAGCUGCUCAACAAGGGUGACGUUUUUGUGUUCCCACAAGGCCUAAUCCACUUUCAGUUCAAUCCAAGUCAUGACAAGCCAGCGGUUGCCAUCGCCGCUCUCAGCAGCCAGAACCCUGGUGCCAUUACCAUUUCUAAUGCAGUAUUUGGAUCAAAACCAUCGAUCGCGGAUGACGUUCUUGCCAAGGCGUUUCAGGUGGACAAGAAGGUUGUGGAUUGGCUACAAGCUCAGUUUUGGGAGGACAACCACAACUAAGUGAAGGAUUCUAUUGUUAUGGUUUUUGCGUAGCGAUGUAAUAAGUAACAACAUUGGUUUGAUUUGUUUGUAUGAUGCAGAAAACUACUGUAUACCUAUAUUGCCAUAUGGAUUCUGUAAAAUGCUAUAUAUGACCUUAUUAGUCAUAAAAUUAAAAUCAUAUAUUGAUUGCAGUUCUUUGUUUCAUUGCGAUGCAACAGCUUUCAACUAAUAUUUUAUUAAGACACCAUGAUUAAAUCACACCAUGAUCAAGAUACCUAGAGUUAAAAUAAGCUGGCAUGAAAAUAUGGCAUCCGUGCCUGUGUCCAGGGACCCUCCAACUCCUCACACCAUCUCGACUCCCAUCAAGCAUCUAGCAUCCACAUUCUGUGAGCGUCGACUCGGUCACAUCGUCGUCGGGAGUCACAGGAGCACCUCUGCCUCCGCCAAGCACCCAGGCGCUGGACAAUCUCUGGCCUUACUCUAGCCUUUUCUUACCUGUUAGUUGCUCCUUGGUGGACUCUGGUCGUGGCUGUUGCCUGCUGGCUGUAGGCUCAGUCUGGCCAGGGGCCUAGGGCGGGCGCCAGCUUGAAGGUUAGCAGCAGCAGAUCCAGUGGAGGGAAAUGCGAAACACAGUGGAUCGGAUGGAGGGCUGCCUCGAUGAGUGGGCGUGGUAGCCCCGAGAUGGAUACGGUGGAGGACGGCCUCGACGAGCGGUGGUGUGCACACACAGAGCUGAUACUAUGGUAGUGGGCUUGGCGGGCUUAUCGAUAGGUUUUUUCUUUUGUUUUCGUGAUUCAUUUUCAUAGGCAGGCAUUGUGUCUGGCUGCGAGAAUGUUGAUUUUCCCAGACGGGCGUGCCCGCCUCUGUAAAGCUACAUUAACACAGGCCUUUCAGCAGAGGCGGACACUUUUUGCGUGCCUGGGUAAAACAACAACGCUCAUCUACCAAAAGAAUAGUGUAGUAGUUUGAGCAAAUGUGGUGCGUACUCAUGCAGUUCUGCAAGGUGGUGGAAUGCCAAGGUAACCUCCACAUACGGCCAUCCCUGUUUGCGAGACUGCUACAACAGCAAGCCUACUACUACUAGUAAGAUCCUUCUCCCUCUCCCUAUAUUUCCACACAUAUAAUAGGUGCUUACUUAAACAAAUGACAAGUUAACAAAUACCAACAACGGCCAUCACAAACCACCUUAGACCAAAGGUCACAGUAAACAAUCUUUACCGAGGUGAUUCAAAUGCCUGGUAAAUCAAAUAAAAAAGAAAAAGAAAAACCCAUGGAUAGGUUUGCUGAGCCCAACCACGGGCCUGCCAAACCCAUCCACGUGUCGCUGCCGUUGCUCGCCAGAUCUGGCCUCCACACAACUGGAUCUGCACCCGUGUCGUCAGCCACCUCGCCCGUGUUGCUAGCUCGCCUCCUUGCCCAUGGAUCUGGCCACCAUGGGCGGAUCUAGAUACAACAACCGCAAAUUUAGCCACUACGGGUGGAUUUGGCCACCACGCCGACGGAUCUGGCCACCACGCCCGUGGAUCUAGCCACCACGGGCGGAUCCGGCCACCACGGCCACAGAUCUGCCUAGUGAAGCUACCACCGUCUAGCCCAUUAGGAGGAGCCAUCCACAUUACCGUCGAACUCGAGAUGGAGAGUGCAAGGGAGAGGGAGUGGAGGGGCGCCGUUGGUCGCGCGAGGGGUGGCGCUCGGCUGCACGACAGGUGCGCUGCUUGACUGCGGGGAUAGGAGAUAGAAGUGGGAGUGGAAAACCCUAAGUGCUCCUUAAUUAUAGACAUGGCUAAGCCAAUGGGCCAUAUGGGCCUAGGACUUUUUCUAAGGGGUGGAUCAUUUAGGAGGUCCGCCUCCAAAAAUAGUGGCAUUUUUUAUUUUGCCUCCAUUAAUAGAUUUUAGGAGGCGGUUAUUUUCUAACUGCCUCUGUGUUGCGAGGAAGUUAAUUGUGUCUGUUUCGAUUAAUAAAAAUGACCGCCUCUGUUAAUCCUAGUUAGGCAUGAACUGAGGCAGUUGGAUUUUGUAAAUGCCUCGGUUAAUAAUAGGACCUUAUAAAAUCAUUUGUAUAGCGGUAUACCCCACACUCUUAGGAAAAAUAGGCAAAGAAGAGGACUCUAGGAGCCUAAUCUCCAUUGGUCCCCCACCACUCGAGAAAUUUGGUGGGUCUAAGAGCUCUCUGGAGAACCUUUUCUCAAGCAUCCAGAAAAUCAGUCCCUCGAACCUUACUUGUCUAGAGCCCUUUUGAAAACUUCCUAUGCCACACAGGAAAAGACCAUGUCACCCUUUAAGGAGCCUAAGCUUCGAAGGACUGACUCUGGUUCCACGGAUAAAUUAGGUGGCCCACCAGUUAGCUCAAAUAGUUGGGCAGAAUGGAGUUAAAGGGGUCGGGCCCCUCAGCAGAGGCACCCAAGAAAUUCGGUGGGUACAAAGCCCUAACCUAAGCCCCUCUCUCAAACAUCAUUUCAGUUUGUAUUUUGGUGACUGGUUAAGAAAUCUAUACCUAAUACUAUAUCUAUACCUAAAUUUCAGCCAAAAUUUUCGUCUGGACUAAUUUUCGUCUGGCCUAUCCCCUGAACCGGACUCGAACUGGAUUCGCUCACAUCUUGUAUCCCAGAUAGAAUAGAAAUCCAAAUCAGACUACCUCUUCUCAUCGGGCGCGCAGGAGCAGGGCCGGCCGCUGGAUCUCUUGGCCCCGAUACAGAUUUCCUGAUGGGGUAGAUGUUGGAUUCCUGGCCCCGGAACCCAUCGAAGCCUCGCAGCAGCCAGCAGGGAGAGGAGAGAUGCUGAGUGGGGAAAUAGGCCGAAGAGAAGGGUGGUCAAAAUCUGUGAGGAGCUCCACUGGAUUGGAAGAGGAGGAAGAAGGGUAUGCAAUUUUGAAGGCGCGCAGUGGGAAUUUCUCAGGGGAUGGAAGCGGGUGAUUUUGCAAUUUGGAGAGGGAAGUAGUGGAUGGCGGCGGCUUGUGACUGGCUAGGGUUAGCCACCUAUCGGGCUGGGCCAAAUU
rnacentral:lncRNA from 1 species